AUCGAUUGAAGAACGCAGCGAAAUGCGAUACGUAAUGUGAAUUGCAGAAUUCAGUGAAUCAUCGAGUCUUUGAACGCACAUUGCGCCCUCUGGUAUUCCGGAGGGCAUGCCUGUCCGAGCGUCAUUGCUGCCCUCAAGCACGGCUUGUGUGUUGGGCUCCGUCCCCCGAUCCCGGGGGACGGGCCCGAAAGGCAGCGGCGGCACCGCGUCCGGUCCUCGAGCGUAUGGGGCUUUGUCACCCGCUCUGUAGGCCCGGCCGGCGCCUGCCGAUCAACCAAACUUUUAUCCAGGUUGACCUCGGAUCAGGUAGGGAUACCCGCUGAACUUAAGCAUAUCAAUA
rnacentral:rRNA from 1 species